rnacentral:misc_RNA from 1 species
GAUGAAGAACGUAGCGAAAUGCGAUACUUGGUGUGAAUUGCAGAAUCCCGUGAACCAUCGAGUCUUUGAACGCAAGUUGCGCCCGAAGCCAUUAGGCCGAGGGCACGCCUGCCUGGGCGUCACACGUCGUUGCCCCCCCAUCUACUCCUUCGGGAUUGCGAGGGGCGGAUGAUGGCCUCCCGUGCGCCUCGUCGCGCGGUUGGCAUAAAUGCCAAGUCCUCGGCGACGCACGCCACGACAAUCGGUGGUUGCGAAACCUCGGUUGCCCGUCGUGUGCGGUCGUCGCGCAUCGAGGGCUCGGAAAAAUUGCCGGGCUCCGGCUCGGCUUUCAACGCGAACCCAGGUCAGGCGGGGUUACCCGCUGAAUUUAAGCAUAUCAAUAAGCGGAGGA